rnacentral:lncRNA from 1 species
UUUUGUAUUGUAGCUACCUUCCACGACUCAUUUAUCUAUUAAUAAAAGGUAGCAUGCUGCAUGCUUCAUGCUUAAAACAAUAGACAAUGGUAUUUUGAUAUCUAUUUUUUUCCCACUUAUUUGAUAUUAUCUUUCAUUAUUUUUUAUUUUCUUUUUUUUUUAUUUAUAAAUACCAAAAUUUAUUUUUAUGGCUAUUUUAAUUUUAUAUAAAUUAUAAAAUAGUUGUUAAAUAGUGUCAAUUAACC